rnacentral:lncRNA from 1 species
AUUAUGAUCACUUUGAUCAUUUGCUCAUCUUCUUUAUCAAGAAGUUCUAUUUGAAACUAAUUUGUCUAUACGCUUUAAGCGUACCAUAGAUUUUGUCCUCCUAGGACUUAAUAUGAGCAUUUGCAAUGAGAAUAUAUAGGUCAAUAAAUGCAUAUGGAAUGCUUGGCAAUAUGUUGCAAAUGAAUUAUCUUUUUAUGAACUUCAAGUUCAUAUUAUUUUAUUCGAGCA